UACGUAGGGUGCGAGCGUUGCCCGGAUUUAUUGGGCGUAAAGGGCGCGUAGGCGGCCACGCACGUCCGUUGUGAAAUCGCCCGGCUCAACUGGGCGGGGUCGGCGGAUACGGCGUGGCUGGAGCAAGCUAGGGGGCAAUGGAAUUCCCGGUGUAGUGGUGGAAUGCGUAGAUAUCGGGAGGAACACCAGUGGCGAAGGCGG
rnacentral:rRNA from 1 species